UACAGAGGGGGCAAGCGUUGUUCGGAAUUACUGGGCGUAAAGGGCGCGUAGGCGGCCUUCUAAGUCGAACGUGAAAUCCCCGGGCUCAACCCGGGAACUGCGUCCGAGACUGAAAGGCUUGAAUCCGGGAGAGGGACGUGGAAUUCCAGGUGUAGCGGUGAAAUGCGUAGAUAUCUGGAGGAACACCGGUGGCGAAGGGCGACGUCCUGGACCGGCAUUGACGCUGAGGCGGCGAAAGCCGGGGAGCAAACGGG
rnacentral:rRNA from 1 species